rnacentral:lncRNA from 1 species
GGAAACCUUUCAAAGGGUUUUAAGUGCUUCCUACAAUUAUCCUCAUCUCAUGGAAAAACUAGACAGAGGAAAAGAAAAGAGGCAAAUGGAGCUUCCUUUGCUAAGAGCUCAAAUAACUCUCCUCUACAUAGUCUUCUUCAAACAAAAACACAAAGCUAAUUUUCCAUUUACUCUUUGAGAGUUCCACAGAAAAACAAGUGAGUAAUAUAUCAUGUUUCUCUUUCUGAAAGCUUUAUAUCUGGAGUUAGAUAAGCCAUUGUUACUUGAUCAAAUAGGUGGAUAUAGCCAUGGAGAUAAGCUAAUAUUUGCAUCGGCAUGACAACCACUGACUAGUCUAAGCGUAAUAGAAG